rnacentral:lncRNA from 1 species
UAUUUGUUUUUAGCCAAUUCUAAGCCUCAUAAAAAGUCGAUGCUCAUAUAAAGAGGAUUCGAUUCAGUCGUUUAUACCUCUCAAUAAAACUUGGAUCUAUCGCUAAUAGAGCUGGGCCCCAUUGAGGCAGAGGAGGAGGUGGAGGAUCUGACAAGUCCCCGCAUGUAGGAACAGAGGGAGGAUCCGAAAGGUCCCUCCUUUCUUCUCCAACUUGCUGACCAGUAACGAGUCUCUCCAC